CCUACGGGCGGCUGCAGUCGAGAAUUAUUCACAAUGGGGGAAACCCUGAUGGUGCGACGCCGCGUGGGGGAAUGAAGGUCUUCGGAUUGUACACCCCUGUCAUGUGGGAGCAAAUUAAAAAGAUAGUACCACAAGAGGAAGAGACGGCUAACUCUGUGCCAGCAGCCGCGGUAAUACAGAGGUCUCAAGCGUUGUUCGGAAUCACUGGGCGUAAAGCGUGCGUAGGCUGUUUCGUAGGUCGUGUGUGAAAGGCGCGGGCUCAACCCGCGGACGGCACAUGAUACUGCGAGACUAGAGUAAUGGAGGGGGAACCGGAAUUCUCGGGGUAGCAGUGAAAUGCGUAGAUAUCGAGAGGAACACUCGUGGCGAAGGCGGGUUCCUGGACAUUAACUGACGCUGAGGCACGAAGGCCAGGGGAGCGAAAGGGAUUAGAUACCCCAGUAGUC
rnacentral:rRNA from 1 species